AUGAAAAUGUAAACAACAAAGAUCGGGCCCCGGUUCCGGACCCAGCGUACCCGCCCUGCCAUGAGACGAUCACCUCCACUCGUCUCCCUCGUUUUGGCCACUAAAUGGCCUAUAUUAGCCCGUGUCGGCCAUAAUGCCCACUCUCCCCAGCAAUAUUAUUUUAGCCGGACAUGAUUUCUUUCAAUAGCUGUUUAGGAUCUCAUGCAAGCGGAUAAUUCAUUAACUUCACAGGUGCGUAUUACUGCUGCAUAUAUUUAUACUAAUUGACAAAGCGCCUUAAUUCCUAAAUUUUUCUCUUAUAGAAUUAAAUUUUUUUUUUUUUUUUUUUUUUUUUUACAACACUGAAUGGAACAGGCGACGAAACACUACAAGGAUAUUGCUAGUCGCCGCAAAAGAAACGCGCAAUGAGGCACUUUAGAGGCAAUCGUUGCGCCGAUUUAGGAACAAUGGCCCACACAAUUACUUAAAACUGGAGCUCUCUGGGGGUGGUAAGGGGCGAUAUAAAUGCGUAAAUUCAAAUUGGGCGCAGAUGCAUCACCUUUGGAGUUUUCCCCCACCGUUCGCACUAUAAAGUGAAGCUCGGCGUAAGUGCCUAUGGAGUGCAAUUAGGAGUCUUCUUCUGACUCUGCCAGGGGCUCGAACGAGGAUGGGCAAAGAUAUGGAACGGACUCACUCGGUGGAUGUGGGCGGGGUCUCGCCUGUGGCC